rnacentral:rRNA from 1 species
GUGGGGAAUCUUGCGCAAUGGGCGAAAGCCUGACGCAGCCAUGCCGCGUGAAUGAUGAAGGUCUUAGGAUUGUAAAAUUCUUUCACCGGGGACGAUAAUGACGGUACCCGGAGAAGAAGCCCCGGCUAACUUCGUGCCAGCAGCCGCGGUAAUACGAAGGGGGCUAGCGUUGCUCGGAAUUACUGGGCGUAAAGGGCGCGUAGGCGGACAGUUUAGUCAGAGGUGAAAGCCCAGGGCUCAACCUUGGAAUUGCCUUUGAUACUGGCUGUCUUGAGUACGGGAGAGGUGAGUGGAACUCCGCGUGUAGAGGUGAAAUUCGUAGAUAUUCGGAAGAACACCAGUGGCGAAGGCGACUCACUGGCCCGUUACUGACGCUGAGGCGCGAAAGCGUGGGGAGCAAACAGGAUUAGAUACCCCAGUAGUCC